AUUGAACCCUGGCGGCAUGCUUUACACAUGCAAGUCGAACGGCAGCGCGGGCCUCGGCCUGGCGGCGAGUGGCGAACGGGUGAGUAAUACAUCGGAACGUGCCCAGUAGUGGGGGAUAGCUCGGCGAAAGCCGGAUUAAUACCGCAUACGACCUGAGGGUGAAAGAGGGGGAUCUUCGGACCUCGCGCUAUUGGAGCGGCCGAUGGCAGAUUAGCUAGUUGGUGGGGUAAAGGCCUACCAAGGCGACGAUCUGUAGCUGGUCUGAGAGGACGACCAGCCACACUAGGACUGAGACACGGCCCAGACUCCUACGGGAGGCAGCAGUGGGGAAUUUUGGACAAUGGGCGAAAGCCUGAUCCAGCAAUGCCGCGUGUGUGAUGAAGGCCUUCGGGUUGUAAAGCACUUUUGGCGGGAACGAAAAGGACUGUGCCAAUACCACGGUUCGAUGACGGUACCCGCAGAAUAAGCACCGGCUAACUACGUG
rnacentral:rRNA from 1 species